CCCAGACCGCCAGCUAAGGUCCCAAAGUUAUCGCUAAGUGGGAAACGAUGUGGGAAGGCUCAGACAGCCAGGAUGUUGGCUUAGAAGCAGCCAUCAUUUAAAGAAAGCGUAAUAGCUCACUGGUCGAGUCGGCCUGCGCGGAAGAUGUAACGGGGCUAAGCGAUACACCGAAGCUGCGGCAAUGUGCUUUAUGCAUAUUGGGUAGGGGAGCGU
rnacentral:rRNA from 1 species